UAAACCCUUACAUAUAUCAUUGGAGCUAUUUUUUGUAUUAUUAUUGUUGAUUUACAAGUUAAUUAUUACUUUGUUCUUUUAUAUAUUUAAGA